AUAAUAUUCUGAAACAGAGGUUUUACUGUACUAAGAAAAAAGUAGCGACAUAACGUGUUAUGCAACCGAUUUCUGGACUGCACAACAAGUUAUGCAAAAAACAAAAGUUGCAGAACGUGUUAUGCAACCAAUUUCGAGAAUGCAUAACAAGUUAUGCAACAAGUUUUGUGGAUGCAUAACCUGUUAUGCAUCAGUAUUCACACCUUCAUUUUCUUUUAAAUGCACGUCACAUGCAUCCAUAUCCAAGCCAUAACACACAAGCAUCCAUUUCGAGAGUCUACUGAUGGUCCAUGGUCGAUACUCCGAAACCAAAACCAUCAAUACUAGGUGGGUGCCUUUACAAGAACACAUGUUCGAAAGAAAACUCGCUGAUAAUUUCAAUUUCAAAGGAGAUCAGUUAAACCAAAACCUAGCUCAAAAAACGCCACUAUAAGCUUCAAUUUGGGAAUCAAUUGAAAGAACCACACUCAAUCUUGAUCAAUUUUUCCCUAUGUUCUCGAUUCACUGAUUGAUUUAGUCCGUUUUGCCAUUGAUUUUGACCAGGCGCAAUCGGAAGGUGAUUACCAGUUCAUACUGGAUGAAGGAGACUGAAGCAGCAAGUCGUCGUUUAUCACCAUCUCUUCCUACUCAUCAUGAAGCAGUAAUAACCACACCAUCAUUGGUUAAUCAAACCAAUGAUGAACCCAAAGGUGCAUGGUCUAGCUGUUAGUAGAUCGAGAUGUUUGAGAUUAUCAGAUGAAAGCACCUCUGAAUCUCAUGAUGUACAAAGAUUGCUUGGACACCGCUUACCCCUGGAUGGAGCACAAGCUAGAUCAAAAUGGUAUUGCAAUUUAAUGUGUCUUUUCUCAUUCAAAAAUUUGUUGUGUUUGUUUGGUUUGAAACUUGAAUAAUGUAUGAUGAGUUUUGUUCAUUAAAAUUUACUUAGA